rnacentral:rRNA from 1 species
AUGGAGAGAUAUAGGGAGCAUAAGAAGGACUUGCAUAUGGUGUUCAUUGACUUGGAGAAGGCCUAUGAUAAGAUACCGCGGAAUGUCAUGUGGUGGGCCUUGGAGAAACACAAAGUCCCAGCAAAGUACAUUACCCUCAUCAAGGACAUGUACAAUAAUGUUGUGACAAGUGUUCGAACAAGUGAUGUCGACACUGAUGACUUCCCGAUUAAGAUAGGACUGCAUCAGGGGUCAGCUUUGAGCCCUUAUCUUUUUGCAUUGGUGAUGGAUGAGGUCACAAGGGGUAUACAAGGAGAUAUCCCAUGGUGUAUGCUCUUUGCGGAUGAUGUGGUGCUAGUUGACGAUAGUCGGACGGGAGUAAAUAGGAAGUUAGAGUUAUGGAGACAAACCUUGGAAUCGAAAGGGUUUAGUCUUAGUAGAACUAAAACCGAGUACAUGAUGUGCGGUUUUAGUACUACUAGCUGUGAGGAGGAGGAGGUUAGCCUUGAUGGCCAUGUGGUACCUCGGAAGGACACCUUUCGGUAUUUGGGGUCAAUGUUGCAGGAGGAUGGGGGUAUUGAUGAAGAUGUGAACCAUCGAAUCAAAGCCAGAUGGAUGAAGUGGCGCCAAGCUUCUGGCAUUCUCUGUGACAAGAGAGUGCCACAAAAGCUAAAAGUU